rnacentral:rRNA from 1 species
UUUGGUUAAGUUAGAAAGGGCGCACGGUGGAUGCCUUGACACUAGGAGUCGAUGAAGGACGGGACUAACGCCGAUAUGCUUCGGGGAGCUGUAAGUAAGCUUUGAUCCGAAGAUUUCCGAAUGGGGAAACCCACCAUACGUAAUGGUAUGGUAUCCUUAUCUGAAUACAUAGGGUAAGGAAGACAGACCCAGGGAACUGAAACAUCUAAGUACCUGGAGGAAGAGAAAGCAAAUGCGAUUUCCUGAGUAGCGGCGAGCGAAACGGAACAUAGCCCAAACCAAGAGGCUUGCCUCUUGGGGUUGUAGGACAUUCUAUACGGAGUUACAAAGGAACGAGGUAGACGAAGCGACCUGGAAAGGUCCGUCGUAGAGGGUAACAACCCCGUAGUCGAAAUCUCGUUCUCUCUUGAAUGUAUCCUGAGUACGGCGGAACACGUGAAAUUCCGUCGGAAUCUGGGAGGACCAUCUCCCAAGGCUAAAUACUCCCUAGUGAUCGAUAGUGAACCAGUACCGUGAGGGAAAGGUGAAAAGCACCCCGGAAGGGGAGUGAAAGAGAUCCUGAAACCGUGUGCCUACAAAUAGUCAGAGCCCGUUAACGGGUGAUGGCGUGCCUUUUGUAGAAUGAACCGGCGAGUUACGAUCCCGUGCGAGGUUAAGCUGAAGAGGCGGAGCCGCAGCGAAAGCGAGUCUGAAUAGGGCGUUUAGUACGUGGUCGUAGACCCGAAACCAGGUGAUCUACCCAUGUCCAGGGUGAAGUUCAGGUAACACUGAAUGGAGGCCCGAACCCACGCACGUUGAAAAGUGCGGGGAUGAGGUGUGGGUAGCGGAGAAAUUCCAAUCGAACCUGGAGAUAGCUGGUUCUCCCCGAAAUAGCUUUAGGGCUAGCCUUAAGUGUAAGAGUCUUGGAGGUAGAGCACUGAUUGGACUAGGGGUCCUCAUCGGAUUACCGAAUUCAGUCAAACUCCGAAUGCCAAUGACUUAUCCUUAGGAGUCAGACUGCGAGUGAUAAGAUCCGUAGUCAAAAGGGAAACAGCCCAGACCGCCAGCUAAGGUCCCAAAGUGUGUAUUAAGUGGAAAAGGAUGUGGAGUUGCUUAGACAACUAGGAUGUUGGCUUAGAAGCAGCCACCAUUUAAAGAGUGCGUAAUAGCUCACUAGUCGAGUGACUCUGCGCCGAAAAUGUACCGGGGCUAAAUACACCACCGAAGCUGCGGAUUGAUACCAAUGGUAUCAGUGGUAGGGGAGCGUUCUAAGGACAGUGAAGUCAGACCGGAAGGACUGGUGGAGUGCUUAGAAGUGAGAAUGCCGGUAUGAGUAGCGAAAGACGGGUGAGAAUCCCGUCCACCGAAUGCCUAAGGUUUCCUGAGGAAGGCUCGUCCGCUCAGGGUUAGUCAGGACCUAAGCCGAGGCCGACAGGCGUAGGCGAUGGACAACAGGUUGAUAUUCCUGUACCACCUCUUUAUCGUUUGAGCAAUGGAGGGACGCAGAAGGAUAGAAGAAGCGUGCGAUUGGUUGUGCACGUCCAAGCAGUUAGGCUGAUAAGUAGGCAAAUCCGCUUAUCGUAAAGGCUGAGCUGUGAUGGGGAAGCUCCUUAUGGAGCGAAGUCUUUGAUUCCCCGCUGCCAAGAAAAGCUUCUAGCGAGAUAAAAGGUGCCUGUACCGCAAACCGACACAGGUAGGCGAGGAGAGAAUCCUAAGGUGUGCGAGAGAACUCUGGUUAAGGAACUCGGCAAAAUGACCCCGUAACUUCGGGAGAAGGGGUGCUUUCUUAACGGAAAGCCGCAGUGAAUAGGCCCAAGCGACUGUUUAGCAAAAACACAGCUCUCUGCGAAGCCGUAAGGCGAAGUAUAGGGGGUGACACCUGCCCGGUGCUGGAAGGUUAAGGAGAGGGGUUAGCGUAAGCGAAGCUCUGAACUGAAGCCCCAGUAAACGGCGGCCGUAACUAUAACGGUCCUAAGGUAGCGAAAUUCCUUGUCGGGUAAGUUCCGACCCGCACGAAAGGUGUAACGAUUUGGGCACUGUCUCAACCAGAGACUCGGUGAAAUUAUAGUACCUGUGAAGAUGCAGGUUACCCGCGACAGGACGGAAAGACCCCGUGGAGCUUUACUGUAGCCUGAUAUUGAAUUUUGGUACAGUUUGUACAGGAUAGGCGGGAGCCAUUGAAACCGGAGCGCUAGCUUCGGUGGAGGCGCUGGUGGGAUACCGCCCUGACUGUAUUGAAAUUCUAACCUACGGGUCUUAUCGACCCGGGAGACAGUGUCAGGUGGGCAGUUUGACUGGGGCGGUCGCCUCCUAAAGUGUAACGGAGGCGCCCAAAGGUUCCCUCAGAAUGGUUGGAAAUCAUUCGUAGAGUGCAAAGGCAUAAGGGAGCUUGACUGCGAGACCUACAAGUCGAGCAGGGACGAAAGUCGGGCUUAGUGAUCCGGUGGUUCCGCAUGGAAGGGCCAUCGCUCAACGGAUAAAAGCUACCCCGGGGAUAACAGGCUUAUCUCCCCCAAGAGUCCACAUCGACGGGGAGGUUUGGCACCUCGAUGUCGGCUCAUCGCAUCCUGGGGCUGUAGUCGGUCCCAAGGGUUGGGCUGUUCGCCCAUUAAAGCGGUACGCGAGCUGGGUUCAGAACGUCGUGAGACAGUUCGGUCCCUAUCCGUCGUGGGCGUAGGAAAUUUGAGAGGAGCUGUCCUUAGUACGAGAGGACCGGGAUGGACGCACCGCUGGUGUACCAGUUGUUCUGCCAAGGGCAUAGCUGGGUAGCUAUGUGCGGAAGGGAUAAGUGCUGAAAGCAUCUAAGCAUGAAGCCCCCCUCAAGAUGAGAUUUCCCAUAGCGUAAGCUAGUAAGAUCCCUGAAAGAUGAUCAGGUUGAUAGGUUCGAGGUGGAAGCAUGGUGACAUGUGGAGCUGACGAAUACUAAUAGAUCGAGGACUUAACCAUA